AUAAUGUAAUGGACUUCAAUUUUUUUUAGUAGCAUUAAGCCCAUUAUUUUUUUUCCUAACUUACUGCUAUCCAUGUUUUCAAACAGUACUAUUUUUUUUAACUACUAUCCAUAUUUCCAAACAAUCUCAAUGUGUACUUCAACUUUAAUAAUAUAGAUAGAAUGAGAUUUAGAACGUGUUACAAGAUAGAAUCGAAAUUUAAAAAAUCCAACCCGGACCCGAACACACAUGCCUAUAAUACACACCUCCAAUUUAUUUAAAUUACAGAUUAUUCAUGGCGAAUACAUAUUUUGUAAUAUAUCUGCUUAACUUCAAUUUUGUUUUUUAUUAAUAAAUAAUUUAUUAUUUAAAUCACAUUUUAGAUACAAAUAAUAUAGUGUAGAAUUAAGAAGUUUUUUUUUUAAAUUUCAAUAUUGGAUGAGAGAUUCAUCAAUGGAGAAGAAAAGAGAAAGAAAAAUAUAUAACUGAUUAAGAAAAUGAUAAUUGCUGAUGAAGAAGAUGCAGAUUAAAGAAGAGAAGCGAAAUAAAUAAAUAAAAUUUGAGAUAAAAAAUUUGGAAAAAUUGAACCAUCAAUGGUUUUGAAAAGGAGAAGAACAAAAGAAUUAAGGAUUGGGAAAAGAUCCGACCCAGAUAACAAAUUUUUAAAUGGUUAGGUUGAUAAUUUAUCAACUUUUACAAGGGUAAGGUCAUUUGACUCAAUUCCCUACUUUUUAUUUUUUUAAAUGUAAAUUAAUUAGAAAAAGAAAAAGUCUAUUUUAGAACUUUUCAUUCUAUGUAGCCCAUUUGAAUAUUUGAGCUUUCUUUUGUGAAGAAUCUGGCUGCUCCGCUACUUCAUGCUUCGUCUUCAUCAUUUGCAAACAGAGUUUUUAUUUAUUAAUCAUACAUUGUAUUUUGUUCAGAAUAUUUUUUACUCAUAUUUCUCUUUCCACGGACUCACCAUUCCCAACUUUUUUCUUUCAUUUUUACAAGUUUUGACAUUUUUGCCAUUGGAGAAAUUUUUUUGUUAAACCCACUUUUGUUAAAACCCAUAAAGCUUUUUUUAAGAUCUUAAACCAUUUCCAAUGGAGGUUCUUCAAUCAGAACUCUUCUAUUAAAAUUAAAGAAAUAAAAAAAAAAUUAUGAGAGAGAGUGAAAAAAACUCUAAAAACUCUUGUUUUAGAAAUACUUCUAAACUUUUUUCAUCCACAUAUCAUGCAAUUAAUAUUUUAAUGGUUUAAAAAAUAUAUAAAAUUUAAUUACACAAUUAAAAUGAUUUCUAAUGGUUGAAAAUGGUCUUAAAACCCAUAAAGCUAAGUUUGGUAAAACCUAACAAAAUCCCGGCAAACAAAAGAUAAGAUUGAACAAUAAUCUAGAGUGUGACACAUUAUUGACACGUGUUAAAAAGAGACUGAGCUUUCUGAAAAUCACUGUUUCAGUUAUCUGGGUGACUUCAAUAAGCUUGUAAACUUUAAAAUCGAAAAGUUUUAGUUUUUCGGAUGAAAUAAAAGGGAAAGUAAAAGAAAACUGAUUUGUAAAGAUAAACUUUUUAAAUAAAAAAGAUGUCUUUGAAUGCUUCAGAAGAACACAUAAAUAUUAGAGUAAUUGCACUCUAUAUACAUCAAUAAUAAUUUAAUUUGCAAGAAUGGAAUUUCUACUAUACAUUUUUUUUAUAAUGACACUGGUACCCCUAUUCCUCAUCGACCAAACCUACUAGUCCAUUUGUAUUUUCAUUCGUAUUUUCAUUUGUAUGAUUGUAUCUAAACGAAACCUAUUGCUUUCCCACUUUCUCUUUUUUUUUUUUCAUUUCUGAAACAUUUGUUCUCUCAAGAAUCUCGCCUAUUUCAAGGUUAACCCUACGCCACGAUCGUCUCUCUCGUUCUCCCCUCCUCCCUACUCUCGCAUCCCUUCUCACUCCUUGUCCUCCUCUCUCUCCUUGUCCAAGUUGUUCGUUUAAGGAAAGGACAUCAAAAUCAAAACUCUGUUCUUUUCUGAUCUGCUCUUUGGUUUGAUCAGCUUGAUCCUUUAGUGGGCAUACGUGGAUAUCUUGUAGUGUAGAGAAGUUCUUAUUUUUUGAGUUGAAUAAAUUUAUGUAAUUACGAAAUUAGUGAAAAUAUUUUCAUAAAUUUUUUGAAAAUUAAGGUAUUAUUAAAAUAUCAUUGGUUGCUCUCCUUCAAUUCAGCUUCUCACUUCCUUAGCGAUUUGAUAUAUCAUUAGUUGCUCUCCUUCAUUAAGUGGCGCAAUUCGAGUUAAUAAUCCUUGGGACGUUGAUGCGGUAGCUGAUUCAAUGUACUCUGCUAUCACCAUGGCUGAUUUUGAGAAGCAACUAGGCCAUAAAAAGCACCAUCACUACAUUAGUUAGUACACAUGAUGGAGUUUAGGUUUUAGACUCAUUGCUCUCUCUCCUAAUUUCCGAAGGCUGUCAGUGCUUACAGGAAAUCGAGCAAUCGAGCAAUCUUUCUGGAUUAUGAUGGUACUUUUGUUCCUGAGACCUCCAUCGUAAAGGACCCAAGUGCUGAAGUUAUGUCUGCGUUGAAGACACUGUGUACUGAUCCUAAUAACACUAUAUUUACUGUUAGCGGGAGGGGUAAGGUCACCAGAUUGUUGAAGUUAGGCCUCAGGGAGUAAGCAAAGCUCUUGUCACCAGGAAAUGCUCGAAGAAGGAAAUGGACCAGAUUUUGUGGCAUGCAUCGGGGAUGAUAGGUUAGACUAGGAGAUGUUUGAGAGCAUAACAACAAACACUCUCGGCUCAAUCCUCGUCAAUGUGUACAGAGAUAUUUUUGUGCAUGGUGAGAAGAAAACCGAGAAAAGCUUAGUACCCUUCUCACCUUAGAGUCCCUUCUAAAGCGUGGUAUGAGUAGUCAUGAAAGGAAACAUGAUUUGUACAUAGAAAACAUGAAAAUUGAGGCUUAUUUAGUCAGGUGUUGGUACAUGUAUAUAAUUAUUUAAGACUUGUGAGCUAGAGACUAGCUCUUUCCCUAUUGUGUUUUGUACAUUGGCUUGUGCUAUAAUCUACAUGUGUUUCUUUAUUUGAAGAGUACCAACACAUUCACAAAGCAAAAUGCUAUGGAAAGCCUAGUGUAGUCUGAGCUUCUUAUGUUUCUCUAAUAGCUUGUUCAUGUUUGAAUUAUGAGAAGUAGAUCUCCUGAACGAUUCAUAUAUGCCCAUUUAAUCAUCUGUGAAUAGCGAUAGACUAAUUAACCUCAUGCUCAAGUCACAUGCACUGCCUCAAAUUCACGAAUAGGAAAACCAUCUUGAGAUAAUAAAAAAAUAAAAGAAGGAGCUCAGUUACAGGGCUAGUAUAUCAUCCAAGUAAUCAGAAAUCUGUGAAGGGACCAACCAUCACUAAAGCCUCAAAUCAUCAUCACCCCAUCUGUUUGCACAAUAUGGGUAUCGAACCAAGGUCGGUGCCGUGGUGGGGUACUAUUCUACCACUAGACCAAUGGUGCUGUGUUUCACAACAACUUCAUUUUCAAUUUUAAUAACGAAAGUUUGCAGUAAUUUGGACAGGUGAUAGAGCCUAUUGUACAAGUAUGGAAAACGCUUUUUCAUACCUGAACAAGUCGUAUAAGUUCUAUUUCUACCUAGACUUCUCAGCUAGUUCAACGCAUACAUAAACUAUCAAAUUGCGUUUUAACAUACCUGAUUUCGUUUUUGUUUUUUGAAAAUCAACUUUGACCAUAAUUCCGUGAGUCGAUUGUUAACUGUUGACAUUUCUCAAUAGUUGGGGUAUAAAUAGAAAUUAUACGAAUUGUUCAGGUAUGAAAAAGUUGUUUUCCGUACAACUACAAGUUGGUAAAAGUAUGCUUUGGCCGAGUCUUUCUACUUUUCUGUUCAGCUAUAUAUUUAUGUUUUUAAUCAUCUAAAAUUGUAUUAAUGGAUUACUCAAUGGUUAUCAUUAAAUGGUUAUCAUUAAAUGAUAAAUACACAAUCACAUACUAAAUAGAUACAAACAAUUGUAAAACUACGACAAUUUACAAUGACUAGUGGCUGGCCUCUGCGCAAGCUUGGAGAUUUUGGUUUAAUUUGAAAUAGACCUAAGUCAACUGAUAACAUUGCCAUGUGUAUAAGAAAAUGUUCAUUUUCCAUCAAAUAGUUUAAUAUCUUCAAUUACAAUGCUUAGUUUUUAAGUGUUUGUUUUUAAACUUUGAUUAUGGCUUCUUGUAGGAAAUAAGAGAGUUUAUAAAGAAAAAAAAAACAAAAAAGUUUAUAAAGCUUGAUGAGGUCGGCUAUCACAAUACUAAAAGCAGCAUUUCCUCAAAAUCUAUACUGCCACGUCAUCAAAAAUAAUUGGCCAAUCACAACAUUUUAUUUUUGUUUUGGGUCUCAAUUGUCUGGGCUUGGGUGUGUGGAUUUAUUAAACCAUAUUCUGUGUUUUCAUUUCAGGCCUAUCUCUAAAUAUAAUGCAUUGAGACCCGAAAUCGCAUGUCGUCAUCUAAGUCGUAUCUUCAUCUUACGGCCGCCGCUUUUUCCGAGAUGAAAGUCGAUGAUAACGCCAUGGACGUUACAACGUUUCAUCUUGCUCUUCUUUACUUCCUGUUAAUUCGUGAUUUCUCCACUCCUCAGCAUUCAAUCCGACUCCUUCUCUUCCCGUACCUACUCACUAGAGCUUCGGGUAUAAAUACUUCCUCAUCCAGACAUGAGCAUCACAGCUUCGACGAGAACCAGAAGAUCUCUCUGUUCAAUUUCUGGUUAUUACAAUGGUGAAUUCCCAAGUCUUUCUUGCUGAUUUGAAAGCAGGACGCUGCUCCAACGUUGCGGAGGUCCAGAGGGAAGCAAGAAAUGUGAGGAAAGGAGGUGAAUUGACGAGUGUUGACAUGCUCUUUGUCGAUGAGAAUUUCAAGGAAAGGUUUGCUUGUGUCCUACCCGCAUUCAGCUUUUACCAACGUAAUGCGGUGAACAAGGUUAGAUUUCAAGUGUGAUUAGUUUGUAUUGAUCUUUUCCUCAUUUAAAAUGAACUCCGUGACUGUAUUAAAAAGCAGAAAGAAGCAGCUUUAUAAAGGUUUUUAGUACGUAUACUAAAAUAAGUGUGGAUAGGAGAAAUAAGAUUGGAGAAUUUUAGUUGAUUUUCAGACUUAAUUUUGUUUGGAUGUUGCUUUUAAAUGACCAAACCAGAGACUUAAGACAUGUAUGUGUGCCAUCAUGAUGCUCUGAUUGUGCUAUGACCCAAAAGUUUUCAGUUUUUUUUGUUAGUUAAACACGUGAAAGCUAAAAUGUUCAUAAGUUCGAUUUAGAGUUGUAAACAAAAUUCAAAGUUAUAAUAUUCCAUAUAGUUGUAUAGGCUAUUGACUUUUAAAUAUUCCAUCGGUUACAGCAUUGAAGACGUUCACCCAAACGGUGGAAUCAAGAAAUUCAAAUCUUCUGUCUACUCCAACGUAAGCUUCGUCCAAUCAUUUUACUCUUUCUUCUAAUCAUUUUACUCUCAAGUCAAUCAUGACAAUAUCGAGUUGUAGCGUGCACUGAGUCUCCUAAUAUACUUAUAUCUCUCUUAUACUUUUCAGUUUAUAUUUUCCUUUCGUCUAAAUCAAAACUGGUUCCCCAAUCCAAUCGUUCUCAAGUCAUGUCGCUCAUACAACAAGGUGAGAUGGCUUUGUCUGCAAAUCGGUUUCAAAGGUUACGAGAAGUAGCUCGAGGUCAUCUUUCAAGACUCCAAGGGAUUUGGUCUCUGUGCUCUGAUCAAGUCGCAGUUGGACAAAAAACUCACUCUUGCUGCAUGUGUGAUCGUGCUCUGAGUCCAGUUUCUUUGUCUACCCCCACAAAGUCAUCAUCAAGACUUCUUCAUCUUCACAUCUGAGUGAGAGCGGGAGCAAGGCUGCAGACCCAGACCCAGUUGGGACAUCACCAGAGCCUACAACUAAGAAGCCAAUGAGGUGUACCAAUCUUGAGUAGACGUUAUAGUGGCUCUCAAUUAUCGUUCAGCCCAGCUGUCAUCUAUCAUAUUUUCAUAGUUUAUGCUUUCAGUUUAAUAAUUGUAAGGCUUAUUAGGUCUCUGUCUAUGCAAAUAUUUGGGCUUUGAUAUUUUAAAAUUAAACACUUAUACACCUAAGUGAGUCAAUAACAUAAUAUUUCCCAGCUUCUUA